rnacentral:rRNA from 1 species
AGCGAACGCUGGCGGCAGGCCUAACACAUGCAAGUCGAACGGAUCCUUCGGGAUUAGUGGCGGACGGGUGAGUAACACGUGGGAACGUGCCCUUUGGUUCGGAACAACUCAGGGAAACUUGAGCUAAUACCGGAUGUGCCCUUCGGGGGAAAGAUUUAUCGCCAUUGGAGCGGCCCGCGUCUGAUUAGCUAGUUGGUGAGGUAACGGCCCACCAAGGCGACGAUCAGUAGCUGGUCUGAGAGGAUGAUCAGCCACACUGGGACUGAGACACGGCCCAGACUCCUACGGGAGGCAGCAGUGGGGAAUCUUGCGCAAUGGGCGAAAGCCUGACGCAGCCAUGCCGCGUGAAUGAUGAAGGUCUUAGGAUUGUAAAAUUCUUUCAGCGGGGACGAUAAUGACGGUACCCGCAGAAGAAGCUCCGGCUAACUUCGUA